CAGCCAUAUCACGUUGAAACAGCUCUUCUCGUACGAUCACCGAAGUUAAGCAACGUCGAGACUGUUUAGUACUUAGAUGCGUAACCGUUUGGGAAUACCAAGUGCUGUAAG